rnacentral:rRNA from 1 species
GCAAGUAGAACGCUGAAGGAGGAGCUCGCUUCUCUGGAUGAGUUGCGAACGGGUGAGUAACGCGUAGGUAACCUGCCUGGUGGCGGGGGAUAACUAUUGGAAACGAUAGCUAAUACCGCAUAAGAGUAGAUGUUGCAUGACAUUUGCUUAAAAGGUGCAAUUGCAUCACUACCAGAUGGACCUGCGUUGUAUUAGCUAGUUGGUGGGGUAACGGCUCACCAAGGCGACGAUACAUAGCCGACCUGAGAGGGUGAUCGGCCACACUGGGACUGAGACACGGCCCAGACUCCUACGGGAGGCAGCAGUAGGGAAUCUUCGGCAAUGGACGGAAGUCUGACCGAGCAACGCCGCGUGAGUGAAGAAGGUUUUCGGAUCGUAAAGCUUUGUUGUAAGAGAAGAACGAGUGUGAGAGUGGAAAGUUCACACUGUGACGGUAUCUUACCAGAAAGGGACGGCUAACUACGUGCCAGCAGCCGCGGUAAUACGUAGGUCCCGAGCGUUGUCCGGAUUUAUUGGGCGUAAAGCGAGCGCAGGCGGUUAGAUAAGUCUGGAGUUAAAGGCUGUGGCUUAACCAUAGUACGCUUUGGAAACUGUUUAACUUGAGUGCAAGAGGGGAGAGUGGAAUUCCAUGUGUAGCGGCGAAAUGCGUAGAUAUAUGGAGGAACACCGGUGGCGAAAGCGGCUCUCUGGC